rnacentral:rRNA from 1 species
GAUCCUGGCUUAGGACGAACGCUGGCGGCACGCCUAACACAUGCAAGUCGAACGGAGAAUACUUAGCUUGCUUGUAUUCUAGUGGCGGACGGGUGAGUAACACGUGAGCAACCUGCCUCUGAGAGAGGGAUAGCUUCUGGAAACGGAUGGUAAUACCUCAUAACAUUACAUGACCGCAUGAUCGUGUAAUCAAAGAUUUAUCACUCAGAGAUGGGCUCGCGUCUGAUUAGCUGGUUGGUGAGGUAACGGCUCACCAAGGCGACGAUCAGUAGCCGGACUGAGAGGUUGAACGGCCACAUUGGGACUGAGACACGGCCCAGACUCCUACGGGAGGCAGCAGUGAGGGAUAUUGCACAAUGGGGGAAACCCUGAUGCAGCGAUGCCGCGUGGAGGAAGAAGGUUUUCGGAUUGUAAACUCCUGUUUCGAGGGACGAUAAUGACGGUACCUCGGGAGGAAGCUCCGGCUAACUACGUGCCAGCAGCCGC